rnacentral:misc_RNA from 1 species
GCAAAGAAAGCUGAGUUGAUGGCCAAAACACAGAAAACACAGGCCAAGGGAAAUGUACCCAAGGGUGCUGCACCAAAGGGCCCCAAACUUGGUGGUGGCGGUGGCAAACGAUGAUCUUCUCAUAUCUGUUCAUUUCAUAUCUAUUAAGUAGCACGGUUGGAAUUUUUGUUUUUCCAUAAUUUCAUCAGGAUACUAAAUUGGUUUUGUUAUCCUUCAAGAUUUUCCUUGCAUUCAUUUAGUGGGGUUCUUUUACUUGAAAGGUUUUCUAAGGCACA